rnacentral:lncRNA from 1 species
CCUAUGGGAUUUGCUACAGAUUUGGAUGGGAGAGCCAUCAAGUCACAAUAUCUGGCUUUGAACAAUCACUCGUACUUAGAGGAAGGUCGGGACCCACCAUAAUGCAUGUGAUGAGUCAUGGCGAACAGCACAUGGGGCUGCAGCAUUUCCCCCAAUUUGUGUACAGCAGAGGGGCCAGAGGACAGCAAGCAGCUGACAUCAGAGGAAGAGGCUCCUAUCAGAGACGUUGGCUUGAGAAUCAGAAGUCAGAUCAUCCCUUCUGCACAUGAG